GCGAGGCCGAAAGGCGUAGUCGAUGGGAAACAGGUUAAUAUUCCUGUACUUGGUGUUACUGCGAAGGGGGGACGGAGAAGGCUAUGUUAGCCGGGCGACGGUUGUCCCGGUUUAAGCAUGUAGGCUGGUUGUCCAGGCAAAUCCGGAUAAUCAAGGCUGAGGUGUGAUGACGAGGCACUACGGUGCUGAAGUAACAAAUGCCCUGCUUCCAGGAAAAGCCUCUAAGCAUCAGGUAACAUUAAAUCGUACCCCAAACCGACACAGGUGGUCAGGUAGAGAAUACCAAGGCGCUUGAGAGAACUCGGGUGAAGGAACUAGGCAAAAUGGUGCCGUAACUUCGGGAGAAGGCACGCUGGUGUGUAGGUGAAGUCCCUGCGGAUGGAGCUGAGACCAGUCGAAGAUACCAGCUGGCUGCAACUGUUUAUUAAAAACACAGCACUGUGCAAACACGAAAGUGGACGUAUACGGUGUGACGCCUGCCCGGUGCCGGAAGGUUAAUUGAUGGG
rnacentral:rRNA from 1 species